rnacentral:lncRNA from 1 species
AUGGCCAACAGUCUCCCAACAGAAUUUGAUGUGAUAGUGAUGGGGACAGGUCUGCCUGAAUCCAUCCUUGCCGCUGCAUGUUCCAGAAGUGGUCAAAGGGUUCUGCAUCUCGAUUCAAGAAGUUACUAUGGGGGAAACUGGGCUAGUUUCAGCUUUCCAGGAUUGCUGUCCUGGUUGAAGGAACAUCGGCAAAACAGUGACACUGUGGAAGAAAGCCCUGCUGCAUGGCAAGACAUGAUCCAUGAAACAGAAGAAGCCAUCCCUCUUUGCAAGAAGGAUGAAACCAUUCAACACGCCGAAGUGUUUUGUUAUGCCAGUCAGGGCAUGGAUGGCAAUAUUGAAGAGCUUGAUGCUCUGCAGAAAAAUCCUUGUGUAGCAUCUAGUACCCUCAUAAAACCUCUGGAUUCUACAAGCUUGUCUGAGGAAACUCACUCAUCACACAUUACUAGCUAUGAAGUGCCUACACAAGACAACAAUGUAGACAACAAUCCAAAAAACAAUGAAGAAAUAACUGAUACGGCAGAAACUUCUGUGAAAGAAGAAUAUUGUGGGUAUGAUACUUAUAAACACACACUUUCAGAUGGCACUAAAGAUGAAAUCAAACCUGUAUUGGAAAACAACAGUGUGCCACCAAAGAGAAAGAGGAUUGCUUACUCUCAAAUAGUUAAAGAAGGCAGGAGGUUUAAUAUUGAUCUGUCAUCGAAGUUGCUUUAUUCUCAAGGACUGUUAAUUGAUCUGUUAAUCAAAUCAAAUGUUAGUCGUUACGCUGAAUUUAAAAAUGUCACUAGGAUUCUUGCAUUUCGAGAAGGAAAAGUAGAGCAGGUGCCUUGUUCCAGAGCAGAUGUCUUUAAUAGCAAAGAGCUCACUAUGGUUGAAAAGAGGAUGCUAAUGAAAUUUCUUACAUUUUGUUUAGAUUAUGAACAACAUCCUGAGGAAUACCAAGCUUUCACACAAUGCUCAUUUUCAGAGUACUUGAAAACCAAAAAAUUAACCCCCAGCCUCCAACAUUUUAUACUUCACUCGAUUGCCAUGAUGUCAGAAUCAUCUUGCACUACAGUAGAUGGCCUUAAAGCAACAAAAAACUUUCUUCAGUGUCUUGGACGGUUUGGCAACACUCCCUUUUUAUUUCCCUUAUAUGGCCAAGGCGAAAUUCCCCAGUGUUUCUGCAGGAUGUGUGCAGUUUUCGGUGGAAUAUAUUGUCUUCGCCAUAAAGUACAAUGCCUUGUAGUUGACAGAGAAUCUGGAAGAUGUAAAGCAAUUAUAGAUCACCUUGGUCAAAGGAUAAAUGCUAAAUAUUUCAUUGUGGAGGAUAGUUACCUGUCUGAGGAAACAUGUUCCAGUGUGCAGUAUAAGCAGAUAUCCAGGGCAGUGCUCAUUACAGAUCAGUCUGUCCUAAAGACAGAUUCAGAUCAGCAGAUUUCCAUUUUGAUAGUACCUCCAGUGGAACCAGGAGCACAUGCUGUCCGAAUCAUUGAAUUAUGUUCUUCAACCAUGACAUGCAUGAAAGACACCUACCUGGUACAUCUGACCUGUUCAUCUUCCAAAACAGCAAGAGAAGACUUAGAAUCAGUGGUGAAGAAAUUAUUCACCCCGUAUUCUGAGACAGAAGUAGACAAGGAAGAACUUCCAAAGCCAGGACUCUUGUGGGCUCUUUAUUUUAACAUGAGAGAUUCCUCGGGAGUCAGCCGAAGCUCAUAUAAUGGCUUGCCUCCCAACGUUUAUGUCUGCACUGGGCCUGACUGUGGACUCGGAAGUGAGCAUGCCGUCAAGCAAGCUGAAACACUCUUCCACGAGAUCUUUCCAAGUGAAGAAUUCUGCCCCCCACCUCCAAAUCCGGAAGACAUUUUCUUUGAUGGUGAUGAAAAGCCAUCAGAGCCUCUUGGAACCAGUAAUAUAGUAAUGGCCAAACUAGAAUCCUCUGAGGGAAGUAAAAACCUAGAAAGUUCAGGGAAGCACCUUCAAAAUUAG